CAUUAUUGUGCACGUGAGCCUGACCAAUGUAACGAACAAAGGAAGCUGCAGCAAACAGAAGACGGACGAUCUGAGCAGACGAAGAGCAGCGAGUCUCUCUCUCAACACUCCUGCACUCCUCGUGGUUACUGUUGCUACGACUGGAAAACUUUAUCCAGCGGCAGAAGGACGCCGAUGUCCAUGUGAUUCUUAUCUGUCACAGCUCCAGCUGAUUUAGAGUGUGAGGCUAUGAAGACUAGAGGGUAAUCUGACCUUUGUGGUUCGGACAGGACUGAAACGAUUGCGAGAGACGACCGAGGGAAGUCAGGAGCAUUCUCUCGUAUUGAUCCAAGCCCCCCCACCCCCCGUCAGCUGUGCCGCAAAAGACGUGUUGCUUUGGUUUCGGAGAGGAAGCGAGUCCGUCUGGAAUAUUAUGACGGCGUUGUGGUCACACUGCAGGCUUUCAGAUAGUCGUUGCGGACGGAGCCAGCGGUGGAUCGGGCUUCAAAAGCAGGUUGAUCCGACCGCGGGAACAGCUGAUCUGCUGCCUGCUGCCACAGCGACCCCUCACUCAGUGAUAAUCAAUGUACGGUGUACAGCCGUCGCAGGAGUAUCCAACGGACACUCCGGUUGAGUAAGCAUAAGCUGACAGCUGAGUUAUGCAGAAAGCAUCUUUAUUUAGGGGACAGAGCUCUGAGGGAGACGCCGGAGUCGACUCAUCUUCCAGGAGCGAGGAAAGAAAAAGUGAAGACUGACGCAUGAGCUACAUCUUGUAGCUAUUUUAGCUGGUUUUUUUUUUUUUACAGCACAAAAUUUGACGUGGAAACUUAACAUGAAACUUUUUCCAAGGUUCGAAACACUUUUCUUUCAGAAAGUCUUGACCUUUUUCAUCUUAAUGUGUAAUCAAAAGAAAUGAAAAAAAAAUGCAUUUAAAAGAAUUCAAG